rnacentral:rRNA from 1 species
AUUGAACGCUGGCGGCAGGCCUAACACAUGAAAGUCGAGCGGAGCGGCGGACGGGCGAGUAAUGCCUAUGAAUCUGCCUGGUAGUGGGGGAUAACGUCCGGAAAAGGGCGCUAAUACCUUAUACUAUCAGAUGAGCCUGGGUCGGAUUAGCUUGUGGGUGGGGUAAAGGCCUACCAAGGCGACUAUCCGUAACUGGUCUGAGAGGAUGAUCAGUCACACUGGAAAUGGGACACGGUCCAGACUCCAACGGGAGGCAGCAGUGGGGAAUAUUGGACAAUGGGGGAAAGCCUGAGCCAGCCAUGCCGCGUGUGUGAAGAAGGAAUUCGGAUUGUAAAGCACUUUAAGUUGGGAGGCGUUACCAACAGAGUAAGCACCGGCUAACUUCGUGCCAGCAGCCGCGGUAAUAC